GAUGAACGCUGGCGGUAUGCCUUACACAUGCAAGUCGUACGAAGAAGUUUUUAACUCAAGUGGCGGACGGGUGAGUAACACGUUAAGAAUUUGCCUUUAGGAGGGGAAUAACAACUGGAAACGGUUGCUAAUACCCCAUAUGCUUUCGAGUAAAACGGAUUUUUCCGCCUAAAGAGAAGCUUGCGGCUGAUUAGCUUGUUGGUGAGGUAAUGGCUCACCAAGGCGACGAUCAGUAUCUGGUUUGAGAGGACGAUCAGACACACUGGAACUGAGACACGGUCCAGACUCCUACGGGAGGCAGCAGUGGGGAAUUUUCCGCAAUGGGCGAAAGCCUGACGGAGCAAUACCGCGUGAGGGAUGAAUGCCUAUGGGUUGUAAACCUCUUUUUUCAGGGAGGAACAAAAUGACGUGUACCUGAAGAAUAAGCAUCGGCUAACUCCGUGCCAGCAGCCGCGGUAAGACGGAGGAUGCAAGUGUUAUCCGGAAUCACUGGGCGUAAAGCGUCUGUAGGUGGUCAAUUACGUCAACUGUNAAAUCUGGACGGCUAACCCUCAAAAUCGCAGUCGAAACUAUCAGACUAGAGUAUAGUA
rnacentral:rRNA from 1 species